UUUUUUCUGAGAGAUAGGCAGCACACUACCUGACUCGUUUAUUUCAUUUAGAAAUAAACUUAGCUGAAAAUAUGAAUCAACUAAAAUUCAAACUUGAGACCUUGGGUACCGAUCAUCAAAUCUUUUGCCACUUGCUCUAUGGACGGUCCGUGACUCCCACUUUUAUGAUGUAAAUAAAAUAUCAUUUACACAUUUUUUUAAAAGCAAGCGUAUACAAUUAAUAAUUAUAUAUAUAUGAUCCUUUAGCCCCCGUUUGGUUCGGGGUUAAGAAAAAGUAGCUAUUCCAGAAAUAGGGUUAAGUUCAGGGUUAAAAUGGUGUUAAAAUUUUUUUGUGUUUGGUGGAGGUUGGAGUUAGUCUAGGAUAGUGAAAAAAAGUGUUUGGUUGGAGUAGGUGGGAUAAGAAGAUAAUGAUUGAUAAAGAAGAAAAAGGUGAGAGCUCGAGAUGCGUGCGGGGUUAAAGUUGGGAGGGGGAGUGGGGUUAAUGAUUGAUAAAGAAGAAAAAGGUGAGGGCUCGGGAUGCGUGCGGGGUUAAAGUUGGGAGGGGGAGUGGGGUUAAUGAUUGAUAAAGAAGAAAAAGGUGAGGGCUCGGGAUGCGUGCGGGGUUAAAGUUGGGAGGGGGAGUGGGGUUAGUAAACCCCACUAAUCCGAUUUGGGGUGGGGUUUACUAACCCCACCCCAAAAGAGUGGUGUUUGGGUAUAAAUUGGGGGUUAAGGAAUUAUUUCACCCCUUAAUCCCCAACCAAACGGUGGCUUAAAAUAUUAUAGGUUUAUAUUCAACGGAUUAAAUUUUAAAAUCAUU
rnacentral:lncRNA from 1 species